AUUGAACGCUGGCGGCAUGCUUUACACAUGCAAGUCGAACGGUAACAGGCCGCAAGGUGCUGACGAGUGGCGAACGGGUGAGUAAUGCAUCGGAACGUGCCCAGUCGUGGGGGAUAACUGCUCGAAAGAGCAGCUAAUACCGCAUACGAUCUAUGGAUGAAAGCGGGGGACCGUAAGGCCUCGCGCGAUUGGAGCGGCCGAUGUCCGAUUAGGUAGUUGGUGGGGUAAAGGUUCACCAAGCCAACGAUCUGUAGCUGGUCUGAGAGGACGACCAGCCACACUGGGACUGAGACACGGCCCAGACUCCUACGGGAGGCAGCAGUGGGGAAUUUUGGACAAUGGGGGCAACCCUGAUCCAGCAAUGCCGCGUGCAGGAAGAAGGCCUUCGGGUUGUAAACUGCUUUUGUACGGAACGAAACGGUCUGGGUUAAUACCCUGGGCUAAUGACGGUACCGUAAGAAUAAGCACCGGCUAACUACGUGCCAGCCGCCGCCGUAACAC
rnacentral:rRNA from 1 species